UACGUAGGGUGCAAGGCGUUGUCCGGAAUUAUUGGGCGUAAAGGAGCUUGUAGGCGGUUUGUCGCGUCUGCUGUGAAAUUUCGGGGCUCAACCCCUGAACUUGCAGUGGGUACGGGCAGACUAGAGUGUGGUAGGGGAGACUGGAAUUCCUGGUGUAGCGGUAGAAAUGCGCAGAUAUCAGGAGGAACACCGGUGGCGAAGGCGGGUCUCUGGGCAAUAACUGACGCUGAGGAGCGAAAGCGUGGGGAGCGAACAGG
rnacentral:rRNA from 1 species